GGCGGCAUGCCUAACACAUGCAAGUCGAACGGUAACAGGCCCGCAAGGGUGCUGACGAGUGGCGGACGGGUGAGGAAUACAUCGGAAUCUGCCCGGUUGUGGGGGAUAACGUAGGGAAACUUACGCUAAUACCGCAUACGACCGAGAGGUGAAAGCGUGGGAUCCGCAAGGACCUCGCGCAGCCGGAUGAGCCGAUGUCGGAUUAGCUAGUUGGCGGGGUAAAGGCCCACCAAGGCGACGAUCCGUAGCUGGUCUGAGAGGAUGAUCAGCCACACUGGGACUGAGACACGGGCCAGACUCCUACGGGAGGCAGCAGUGGGGAAUAUUGGACAAUGGGGGCAACCCUGAUCCAGCAAUGCCGCGUGUGUGAAGAAGGCCUUCGGGUUGUNNAGCACU
rnacentral:rRNA from 1 species